UAAAAACUCAUUGGAUGCAUUUAACAGCAGACAGGACGCAGCAGAAGUCUAGCUGGUGAACCAGAAGACAUGUGAAUAGAAAGAACCAUAUUGAACAACAGAUAGAAGAAAGAAUGGACAAAGCAUAAGAGACAUGUAGAAUGUAGACAAAGCAUCUAACAUUCGUGUAAUUGGUAUCCCAGAAAGCAAGAAAGUGAAGAAUGAGAAAGAAGAAAUACAUAUUGUCAAAGUCCUUACCAAUACCAGCAGAAGAUAUAUUACACUUGGGUGUUCACACCCUCGUCAUUACAUUUACUGAUUACGUGCAACAUUGGGCAAAUUCUAUACCUCCUCUGAUCUUCCUUUUUCUUUGCCUGUAAAAUUGAACCAAUAAUAUUAAUUCCUCAGAACUUUCAUAGUAUCAUCCAUAUAUGAUGAAAGUACAUAAGUACACGGACCGAGUCCAUUUGGAAAAUGCUCAUUAUAUGGGAGGCUGUGGACGCUGGGACAAAAACAUCUCAGACGCUGUUCUCAGGGAGCUCACAGUCAAGUGAGGAAGACAAAUAAUUAACAAGGCCGAAGCAAACACAUCUCAGUAGUCCAGGGGGCAUCACUAGUGAGAACUCAAAGGACAGAAAUUACUUGCAUCUCCACCAAACAAAAAUCUAUCAGCUAACCCCGCCCCAACAGAGCUGCAACUUAGCCCCAUCAAUGGAGAGCCAGUCUAAGGAGCACGCUGAGCGCCUCACUGAAGAGCACCCAGGCCUCGGGGUGCUUGCCAUUGCCAAGUUCUGAGCAAUUCUUCUCCAGCACGCUCUACCCUGGCCUGGGGCAAGUCCUCUCUUGUCCCUCUGCCUAGCCAGGUCCCUGCUCUAUCCAGCCUGUUUGAGACCCUCAUUAGCCCUUCUCUCUUUUAGAAACCUUCCAUCCAAACUGGAUGAACAGCUAUUUCAGCAACUCCCUAUGGCUUCGUCUCUUCGUUCACGGGAUGCCAUGUGGCAGGAACGUGGAGACGCUGAGCAUCAGCCAUGGAUCACGAUGCUCUCUGAAUGGGAAGGUGGCCGAGGGGCUCCAACAGCUCGUCACCAUGAGCCAUUCCAUUAUAGGCACUGUGUUGAAGCCCCAGCCACCGAGACCUGAGAGGUCCUAUUUUACUCUGGGUCAUGGGCAGAGAGGAGAAACAGCUGGAAAGAUAAAGCCAGAACUAGGAAAAUGGCCAUAGAAGACCACGGUGAAACUCAUCAAAUAGAACACUUAAAAUAUGUGUAUUUCAUGUUAUGCUAAUUAUUCUGGAUUAACCUGAAUUUUAAAAAUUAAAUUUGAAAAAGGAAACAAA
rnacentral:lncRNA from 1 species